rnacentral:rRNA from 1 species
CCUACGGGAGGCAGCAGUGAGGAAUAUUGGUCAAUGGGCGAGAGCCUGAACCAGCCAAGUCGCGUGAGGGAAGACGGUCCUAUGGAUUGUAAACCUCUUUUGCCGGGGAGCAAAAAGCGGUACGUGUACCGCAUCGAGAGUACCCGGAGAAAAAGCAUCGGCUAACUCCGUGCCAGCAGCCGCGGUAAUACGGAGGAUGCGAGCGUUAUCCGGAUUUAUUGGGUUUAACGGGUGCGCAGGCGGCGAGUUAAGUCAGCGGUAAAAUUUCGGGGCUCAACCCCGACAAGCCGUUGAAACUGGCUUGCUAGAGUGGGCGAGAAGUAUGCGGAAUGCGUGGUGUAGCGGUGAAAUGCAUAGAUAUCACGCAGAACUCCGAUUGCGAAGGCAACUCACUGGACUGCAACUGACACUGAGGCUCGAAAGUGUGGGUAUCAAACAGGAUUAGAUACCCUUGUAGUC